rnacentral:rRNA from 1 species
UACGUAGGGUGCGAGCGUUAAUCGGAAUUACUGGGCGUAAAGCGUGCGCAGGCGGCGGCUCAAGUCAGGUGUGAAAUCCCCGGGCUUAACCUGGGAACUGCAUCCGAUACUGGAUGCUUGAAUCGGGAGAGGGAUGCGGAAUUCCAGGUGUAGCGGUGAAAUGCGUAGAUAUCUGGAGGAACACCGGUGCGAAGGCGGCAUCCUGGACCGGCAUUGACGCUGAGGCGCGAAAGCCAGG